GCUGUGAUGAACAAAGCAGAGAUGAUCUUGAGAGAUGAAUCUUUCUCUAAGAAGUUCUGAGCUG